AAGUAAUAAGGUGCUUGAAGAAUUGAUACCAAGGUUAGGGCACUUAAGGGUGCUCUCAUUGACUAAUUACAUGAUAAGUGAGAUACCAGAUUCAUUUGGUAAGUUGAAACAUUUGAGAUACCUUAAUUUGUCCUACACCAGUAUAAAAUGGUUACCCGAUUCAAUUGGUAAUCUUUUUUACCUUCAGACAUUGAAAUUAUCAUGCUGUGAAGAGCUUAUCAGGUUGCCUAUUAGCAUCGGUAACCUAAUCAAUCUUCGACAUCUUGACGUUGCUGGUGCAAUAAAAUUACAAGAAAUGCCUAUACGAAUUGGCAAACUAAAAGAUUUGCGGAUAUUGUCUAAUUUCAUUGUGGACAAAAACAACGGUCCGACAAUCAAAGAGUUGAAAGAUAUGUCACAUCUGCGAGGAGAACUUUGCAUUUCGAAAUUAGAAAAUGUGGUGAAUAUUCAAGAUGCAAGGGAUGCCGAUUUAAAAUUGAAGCGUAACCUUGAAAGCUUGAUAAUGCAGUGGAGUUCUGAGUUGGAUGGUUCAGGGAAUGAAAGGAAUCAAAUGGAUGUCCUUGACUCUCUACAACCAUGUUGGAAUCUGAACAAACUCUGCAUUCAGUUGUAUGGUGGUCCAGAAUUCCCACGUUGGAUAGGGGAUGCCUUGUUCUCUAAGAUGGUGGAUCUACGUCUCAUAGAUUGCAGAAAGUGCACGUCUUUACCAUGCUUGGGGCAGUUGCCAUCGCUCAAACAGUUGAAGAUCGAAGGAAUGGUUGGAGUAAAAAAAGUGGGUGCAGAGUUUUAUGGAGAGACUCGUGUUUCUGCAGGUAAGUUUUUCCCAUCACUAGAGUCUCUACAUUUUAAUAGCAUGUCAGAAUGGGAGCACUGGGAGGAUUGGUCUUCCUCAACAGAGUCAUUAUUCCCUUGUCUCCAAGAGCUUAUAAUUGUGGAUUGCCCCAAAUUGAUUAUGAAACUACCCACUUACCUACCUUCUCUUACAAAGCUCUCUGUUCACUUUUGUCCAAAAUUGGAGUCUCCACUUUCAAGACUUCCACUGCUGAAGGAAUUACGUGUAGGAAAAUGUAAUGAGGCGGUCUUGAGCAGUGGAAAUGACCUCACCUCACUCACCAAGUUAACAAUUUCUAGGAUUUCAGGGCUUAUCAAAUUGCAUGAAGGAUUUGUGCAAUUUUUGCAAGGGCUUCGGGUUUUGGAAGUAUCGGGAUGUGAAGAACUCGAAUAUUUGUGGGAGGAUGGUUUUGGAUCGGAAAACUCUCUUUCUCUUGAGAUUAGAGAUUGUGAUCAACUUGUAUCCUUGGGAUGCAAUCUUCAGUCUUUGGAAAUAAGUGGAUGUGAUAAACUAGAGAGGCUUCCAAAUGGAUGGCAGAGUCUAACAUGCCUCGAAGAGUUGGAAAUCAGGGGUUGUCCAAAGCUAGCGUCAUUUCCAGAUGUAGGUUUCCCACCAAUGCUGAGAAAUCUUAGUCUUUAUAAUUGUAAAGGUCUAAAGAGUCUACCUGAUGGCAUGAUGUUGAAGAUGAGGAACGACAGUACUGACAGCAACAACUUGUGUCUCCUUGAAGAGCUAGUGAUAUACAGCUGUCCAUCUCUCAUUUGCUUUCCAAAAGGGCAAUUACCCACCUCCCUUAAGAGUCUACACAUAGAGUUUUGUGAAAAUCUCAAGUCUCUUCCAGAAGAAAUGAUGGGCAUGUGUGCCCUUGAAGACUUUUUGAUAGUUGGGUGUCAUUCUCUUAUUGGAUUACCGAAAGGUGGGUUACCCGCCACUCUCAAGAGACUCACAAUAACUGAUUGUGAAAGGCUAGAGUCUCUACCAGAGGGAAUAAUGCACCAACAUUCCACCAAUGCUGCUGCUCUCCAAGCCUUGGAAAUCUCAAGUCUCAAGUCUCUUCCAGAAGGAAUGAUGCACUGCAAUUCCAUCGCCACCACCAGCACCAUGGACAUGUGCGCCCUUGAAUACUUAAGUCUAGAUACGUGUCCUUCUAUGAUUGGUUUUCCGAGAGGUUGGUUACCCAUCACUCUCAAGGAACUCCACAUAAGGAAUUGUGAAAAGCAGGAGUCUCUACCAGAGGGAAUAAUGCACUACGAUUCCACAUAUGCUGCUGCUCUCCAAGACUUGGAAAUCCGUAAAUGUCCAUCUCUCACAUCCUUCCCAAGAGGCAAGUUUCCAUCCACCCUUGAGCGACUUGACAUUGAGGAUUGUGAACACCUCGAGUCAAUUUCAGAGGAGAUGUUUCACUCUACUAAUAAUUCACUUCAAUCUUUAAUCCUCAGGAGGUAUCCUAAUCUCAAAACCCUACCAGAUUGCCUCAACACCCUCACAAAUCUACUUAUUGAAGAUUUUGAAAAUCUGGAAUUGGUGCUUCCUCAGAUAAAAAACCUCACUCGUCUUAUAUCGCUUUUCAUUCAAAAUUGUGAGAAUAUCAAGACCCCCCUAUCCCAAUGGGGCCUUUCCAGACUCACCUCUCUUAAAUUCCUCUGGAUUGAUGACAUGUUUCCAGAUGCAACUUCCUUUUCGGAUGACCCCCACUCGAUUCUUUUUCCUACAACUCUCACCUCCCUUACCCUUUCAGAAUUCCAGAAUCUGGAAUCCCUAGCCUCCCUGUCUCUCCAAACCCUCACCUCUCUUGAAAAUCUAGUAAUCUACAGUUGCCCUAAGCUCCGGUCGAUUUUGCCAAGGGAAGGACUAUUGCCUGACACCCUUUCACGACUGUAUGUGCGGGGUUGCCCACGUCUAACACAAAGGUACUCGAAGGAGGAAGGAGAUGAUUGGCCCAAGAUUGCCCACAUCCCCCAUGUAGUAAUAAGAGAGUGUUCAUUACAAGUAAUCGGGAUGAGCCUAGAUGUUUGAACUUCCUUUGGUUCAGCAGCUUGCACUGAUUGGGGUCCAUGUAAAAUGUGCUCUAACCAAGUGGAUUUCUUCAAAAGGAAGUGGAAUAUGAAGAAAUGAUAGAUUGUUCAGAUUUUGCUGUAGAGGAAGGGAGAUUGCUGGGUGCUCAACACUUGAUGCUCAUUGCUCUGUUCAAGAAGAAUAAGAAACUGAGAGGAUCAGUUUCAGCCAUGUCAGGACUCUAAUCCAUGGCAGGCUUUCUCUGAGGUAGGUGCCCAGACAACAAUAGCAAGUCUGUUAGGACCCGAAAUGGCCAUCACACCAAACCAGCCACAGAAGUAACUUCUGGCCCUGAAACUUGGGGUUUUGGAACAGAGAGUUUUACAGCCACCCCUGGUGCCAGCUCUAAUAUUUCCAGACCCUCCAUUGGAGGCAAUAAUGCCCAGCUGUUUGUUGACUCAAAGAAGAUUGAGGGCAAGCUGGCUACUCAACCUGCUGGAUGGGCUGGUUUCUAACUUAUUUGGUGAUGUUAUAUCAUCCUGGGCACUUCUGGCCAUAAGAGAUGGGAAUAGGUAAAAA